rnacentral:tRNA from 1 species
GGGGAGAUUCCAGAGUGGCUAAAUGGGGUAGACUGUAAAUCUAUUGGCGACGCCUUCGGAGGUUCGAAUCCUUCUCUCCCCA